rnacentral:rRNA from 1 species
GACGAACGCUGGCGGCGUGCCUAAUACAUGCAAGUCGAGCGAAGUUUUUCUGGUGCUUGCACUAGAAAAACUUAGCGGCGAACGGGUGAGUAACACGUAAAGAACCUGCCUCAUAGACUGGGACAACUAUUGGAAACGAUAGCUAAUACCGGAUAACAGUAUUUCUCGCAUGAUAGAUAUUUAAAAGUUGGUUAUGCUAACACUAUGAGAUGGCUUUGCGGUGCAUUAGCUAGUUGGUGGGGUAAAGGCCCACCAAGGCGACGAUGCAUAGCCGACCUGAGAGGGUGAUCGGCCACACUGGGACUGAGACACGGCCCAGACUCCUACGGGAGGCAGCAGUAGGGAAUCUUCCGCAAUGGGCGAAAGCCUGACGGAGCAACGCCGCGUGAGUGAAGAAGGAUUUCGGUUCGUAAAGCUCUGUUGUUAGGGAAGAAUGGAUAUGUAGUAACUAUACAUGUAAGAGACGGUACCUAACCAGAAAGCCACGGCUAACUACGUG